GUGGGAUUGAUGGUGUUCCAGCAAUUUGGAGGGAUCAACGGGAUAGGUUUCUUUGCAAGUGAAACCUUCGCCUCAGCAGGUCCAUCAGUAGGCAGAAUUGGAACAAUUGCUUAUGCUUGUAUUCAGGUUCCAAUUACUGUUGCUGGUGUAAUCUUAAUGGACAAAUCUGGAAGAAGGCCACUUAUUAUGGUGUCUGCCGCUGGGACUUCUCUUGGUUGCUUCCUUGCCGGAGCUUCUUUCUUUCUCAAGGGCCGCGGUUGGCUGCUCGAUUUCGUGCCCGUGCUCGUUGUUGCCGGAGUGCUGAUUUUUGUGGCAUUUUUCUCAAUUGGAAUGGGAGCUGUUCCUUGGGUGAUAAUGUCUGAGAUAUUUCCAAUUAAUGUGAAAGGAGUAGCUGGGAGCAUAGUAGCAUUGGUGAAUUGGUUGGGUGCUUGGAUUGUCUCUUUUACCUUCAAUUUCUUCAUGAGCUGGAGUUCUUCUGGGACAUUUUUUAUUUACUCUCUAAUAUCUUUGAUGACAAUUCUAUUUGUGAUCAAGUUGGUCCCAGAAACCAAAGGAAAAACCCUAGAAGAAAUUCAAGCAUCCAUUCAUUCACAAAGAGAA
rnacentral:misc_RNA from 1 species